GUAGUCCACGCUGUAAACGAUGAUUACUAGGUGUGGGGGGAUUGAACCCUUCCGUGCCGGAGUUAACACAAUAAGUAAUCCACCUGGGGAGUACGACCGCAAGGUUGAAACUCAAAGAAAUUGACGGGGGCCCGCACAAGCAGUGGAGUAUGUGGUUUAAUUCGACGCAACGCGAAGAACCUUACCAGAUCUUGACAUCGAUUGAAAUCCCUAGAAAUAGGGACCUCCUUUCGGGGACAAGAAGACAGGUGGUGCAUGGUUGUCGUCAGCUCGUGUCGUGAGAUGUUGGGUUAAGUCCCGCAACGAGCGCAACCCCUAUUAUUAGUUGCUACAUUAAGUUGAGCACUCUAAUGAGACUGCCGUUGACAAAACGGA
rnacentral:rRNA from 1 species